UACGAGAGGCCCAAACGUUAUUCGGAAUUACUGGGCUUAAAGAGUUCGUAGGCGGCGCAGAAAGUAGGGUGUGAAAGCCCUCGGCUCAACCGAGGAAUUGCGCUCUAAACUACUGUGCUUGAGGGACCUAGAGGCGAGCGGAACUGAUGGUGGAGCGGUGAAAUGCGUUGAUAUCAUCAGGAACACCGGAGGCGAAGGCGGCUCACUGGGGGUCUUCUGACGCUGAGGAACGAAAGCCAGGGGAGCGAACGGG
rnacentral:rRNA from 1 species